UAUGUAUGUAUAAUAAUAAUAAUAAUAAUAAUAAUAAAUAAAGGGUAGAGGGAAUAGAACAUGUGAUCCAUUCUUAUUUGAUUUGAUUGGCCACAAAAUCAUGCCUAUCACACAUAUAACAGAGCAUACAGGAAAUAUAAUGAAAUCCAAGGAAUUAUAUUUCAUAAGCCAUUUCUUGUUGAAGAAAUAAUAAAUGGUAAGAAAUUGAACUCAUUGGAAGCAAGCAGCAGUCGUUGGAAUGAAAUGCCAGUUUAUCUAUUUGUUUUGGAACCUAAAUAAAAAUAACCCAUUGAAAUGAAUAAAAAAGAUGUCAAUUUUAAUGAAUAAUUAACUCUAGAAAUAAAAUUUAUAUAAGGUAUUCAACAUUUGCUAGCUAGAAUAGCUAUAAAUAUGUGUGUGUAUAUAGCAACUAAUGAGUACUUAUAAAAAUUCAUAUGAGUACUUAAACUCAAACUCAUUACUCAUAAACUAUUUUUUUCCUUUUAAUUUAUGAAUGGACAACAAAACUUGAGAACUUUUUUAUCCCCACAUAGCAUGAAUUUGUCCAAAAAAAAAGAUUAUCCAUUGCACCAGUAUUACUCUACAAGUGGUCAUAUAUUAUAUAAAAGAAGAUAAUGUUCAACAAUAAUGGUAUUUUUGAAUUUUUGGUUUGGUCUUUAAUUAUUUGUUUAGAAAGCUAUUGUCUUUUGAAUUUUAUCUUUUG
rnacentral:lncRNA from 1 species